UACGAAGGGGGCUAGCGUUGCUCGGAUUGACUGGGCGUAAAGGGCGCGUAGGCGGUUCGUACAGUCAGACGUGAAAUUCCCGGGCUUAACCUGGGGGCUGCAUUUGAUACGUGUGGGCUUGAGUGCGGAAGAGGGUCGUGGAAUUCCCAGUGUAGAGGUGAAAUUCGUAGAUAUUGGGAAGAACACCGGUGGCGAAGGCGGCGACCUGGUCCGUGACUGACGCUGAGGCGCGAAAGCGUGGGGAGCAAACAGG
rnacentral:rRNA from 1 species